rnacentral:rRNA from 1 species
UACAGAGGUGGCAAGCGUUGUUCGGAAUUACUGGGCGUAAAGGGCGCGUAGGCGGUCUUGUAAGUCUCGUGUGAAAUCCCUCGGCUUAACUGAGGAACUGCACGGGAUACUGCUUGACUUGAGUUCGGGAGAGGGAAGCGGAAUUCCGGGUGUAGCGGUGAAAUGCGUAGAUAUCCGGAGGAACACCGGUGGCGAAGGCGGCUUCCUGGACCGACACUGACGCUGAGGCGCGAGAGCGUGGGGAGCGAACAGG